rnacentral:rRNA from 1 species
GAUACCGCCCUAGUUCUAACCCUAAACGAUGCUAACUAGCUNNAUUCGNNCCGUCGUUAUUCCCAUGACGUGGCGAGACGCCCCCGGGAAACCUCAAGUCUUUGAGUUCCGGGGGUAGUAUGGUUGCAAAACUGAAACUUAAAGGAAUUGACGGAAGGGCACCACCAGGAGUGGAGCCUGCGGCUUAAUUUGACUCAACACGGGAAACCUCACCAGGCCCGGACACCAGAAGGAUUGACAGAUUAANGAGCUCUUUCUNNCGAUUUGGUGGGUGGUGGUGCAUGGCCGUUCUUAGUUGGUGGAGUGAUUUGUCUGGUUAAUUCCGGUAACGAACGAGACUCUGGCCUACUAACUAGUGGAUGGGUGUUCUGNGUAGUGGGGCCCCAUCCGAUAAUGUCUUCUUAGAGGGAUGAGCAGCGAGUAUAGCUGCAGGAGAUUGAGCAAUAACAGGUNCUGUGNAUGCCCUUAGAA